UAGGGUGCUUGGAAACCUCGGACCACAGCACUAUUCAUUUCAACCCGGAUCAUCACACUAAAUACCGCUUGAAGACAAUUCGUCGUUCGUUGAUUGACAAUCCAAGGAGUCGUUUCAUCGACAAAUUUCUAGAGAACAGACGAGCACAUUUGGCGACUGUAACAUCGGAUUGAGACAUGUGUUCUAGCUUGUUAUAGUAGAAUACUUUGUUAGUCAUGUAUCAGAUGAAACUUAUUAAUAAUGAUUUGUGUUCUGUUUUUAUUGGUCGUGUAUUCGAUCUUAAUGUUAACCGCUUUGUAUAGAACUAUGUGACCUCUCUAUUAUCUAAUAAAUAAGUUCAUCAUCAUUA